ACGAACGCUGGCGGCGUGCUUAACACAUGCAAGUCGAACGGAAAGGCCCUGCUUGCAGGGUACUCGAGUGGCGAACGGGUGAGUAACACGUGGGUGAUCUGCCCUGCACUUCGGGAUAAGCCUGGGAAACUGGGUCUAAUACCGGAUAGGAGCCAUUUUUAGUGUGAUGGUUGGAAAGUUUUUUCGGUGUAGGAUGAGCUCGCGGCCUAUCAGCUUGUUGGUGGGGUAAUGGCCUACCAAGGCGGCGACGGGUAGCCGGCCUGAGAGGGUGGACGGCCACAUUGGGACUGAGAUACGGCCCAGACUCCGACGGGAGGCAGCAGUGGGGAAUAUUGCACAAGGGGCGCAAGCCGGAUGCAGCGACGCCGCGUGGGGGAUGACGGCCUUCGGGUUGUAAACUCAUUUCGCUAGGGACGAAGCUUUUUGUGACGGUACCUAGAUAAGAAGCACCGGCUAACUACGUG
rnacentral:rRNA from 1 species